UCCACCGCGUUGCUUUGAAAGACUUUUGACUAAUGGGCGACAGACCGAUCACCUGGCACCACCCGGUUCAUCAUAUCCAUCUUAGGACUUCCUCAACGUAUCAAAAGUUGCUCAAAGUUGCCUGACUUGUGGUUCUGCUCACCCCAUUAAAUAUCGCAGAUUUUAUAUCUAAUUUAGCAAAUGCUGAUAUUUGCGAGCUUUGGAAAUGUUAUAUAAAAUUCCCAUCUGUGAGCGCCGGCGUAAAACGAGAGACUAUUGAAUGUGUGCAUGUGGAUGGGUCGAUCGGUGAAAAGGAGAUUUGCAUUGAUGAGGACACAGGGGAGCGCGUCCAAUGUCCCUCAGAUAAGUGCUUCAAAGACGCUAUGACGAGGAGCGGCGGCCUAGCAGGAAGAGGGUUUCCUUUCUUUGGCGACGGUAGCGACGACACCAGCGAUGAAAAGCGAGAUUGGAGUUUCAUAGGAAGCUGCGAAUAUCAG